ensembl:lncRNA
GAGGCUCAGGGGAGGCCUUAUUGCUCUCUGUAACUGCCUGAAGGGAGGUUGUAGUGAGCUGGGGGUCGGCCUCUUCUCUCGUGUGACAGUGAUAGGACGAGAGGGAAUGGCUUCAAGCUGCGCCAGGGAAGGUUCAGGCUGGACGUUAGGAAAUACUACUGCUCUGAAAGGGUGGUCAGGCACUGCAAUGGGCUGCCCAGAGAGGUGGUGGAGUCACCCACCCUGGUGGUGUUCAAAGAGCGUUUGGAUGUUGUGUUGAGGGACGUGGUUUAGCGGGAACCAUUGGUGAAGGGCGG